UGGAAGUAAAAGUCGUAACAAGGUUUCCGUAGGUGAACCUGCGGAAGGAUCAUUACCGAGUGCGGGCCCUCGCGGCCCAACCUCCCACCCUUGUCUCUAUACACCUGUUGCUUUGGCGGGCCCACCGGGGCCACCCGGUCGCCGGGGGACGUUUGUCCCCGGGCCCGCGCCCGCCGAAGCGCCCUGUGAACCCUGAUGAAGAUGGACUGUCUGAGUACCAUGAAAAUUGUCAAAACUUUCAACAAUGGAUCUCUUGGUUCCGGCAUCGAUGAAGAACGCAGCGAAAUGCGAUAAGUAAUGUGAAUUGCAGAAUUCCGUGAAUCAUCGAAUCUUUGAACGCACAUUGCGCCCCCUGGCAUUCCGGGGGGCAUGCCUGUCCGAGCGUCAUUUCUGCCCUCAAGCACGGCUUGUGUGUUGGGUGUGGUCCCUCCGGGGACCUGCCCGAAAGGCAGCGGCGACGUCCGUCUGGUCCUCGAGCGUAUGGGGCUCUGUCACUCGCUCGGGAAGGACCUGCGGGGGUUGGUCACCACCAUAUUUACCACGGUUGACCUCGGAUCAGGUAGGAGUUACCCGCUGAACUUAAGCAUAUCAAUAAGCGGAGGA
rnacentral:sRNA from 1 species